rnacentral:lncRNA from 1 species
AAAUGUAAGAAAAUUCCAAAGUACUAUGUCAAGGUUUUUUUUAGGGGUUAAAGAGACGGUGGAUAUCGUGCACGACGUCAUGUCCAGGCAGUUAUUCCGGUAUGGACAUCUGCAAAGAAUGUCGGAGGAGAGGUUGCCCAAACAAGUUUUGGAUUGGGUACCACCUGGGAAGAGGCGACGGGGACGUCCCGUAAAGGGUUGGCGGCAGGGCGUUGACGAAGAGAUGUUGCGGUGUUAGUUGCCCGAUAACCUCUGGGAAGACAGGCAUAUGUGGCGUUUGGGUGUCGUAGAACGCCAGAGUGCGUUGUAAAGCGACUUUAUAUAUAUAUAAGAUGUAGAGGGUGACUAUCCUAGCAAACGGCUGGGAGAGCCAACCUCUAUACUAAAAAUCGGGGGACGUGAAAUGAAAUGAAGAAGAAUGAAAUGGUGAUGAACAAACUAUAAUGAAUGACUAAAAUGUGAACAAGAACAAAAUGACAAUGGUAUGAUAGGAACCUCUCUCUACAUGGGUGGAUACAAGGGGGAUGAUAUGCGCUCUCAGUGUAACACGCCUAUGCUGGGGUAAAUACGCGGCAACGCUCACGAUACACUACAACUAACAUGGAAAUACACAAGGGACGGGAACACGGCUACGCUCAUGAGUCCCGACUAGACUAAACACUAAAUGACCUAAAGACCUAAGAACUUACAUGGAGGGUGAAAAGAAUGAAAUGAAUGAAAAAGAAUGAAUGCAAUGAAUGUGAUCAGAAGACGGCGAGCUUGGCCGUGCAACGCGUUUUAUAUCCGCGGGAACCGCGGCUCGGCAAGCUCCGACAACUUUCGGGCGUCUCCCCGCUUUGGCCGUGGCCACGGACCGAAGUGGGGACAGCUCCGCGGGUCUUGCCGCGGUCUCUGCUGACGUCACCGAUUCUACUAGGGGAGCGGCGAGCGUACCCCACGUUUGCGGUCCCGAACACGGAGUAUACACGCUAGACAGCAGUGUCGAGCGUGGAUACUACAAAGAGACGUUUGAAUUAAAAAUAAAAUAAUAUCCAUUAAUAUUAUGGGUUGUUUGCAAGGUUAUCAGUCACCAUCGCUAAAUCCAGAUGUACGUUUCACACACUUUGCA